rnacentral:rRNA from 1 species
AGUGAACGCUGGCGGUAGGCCUAACACAUGCAAGUCGAACGGCAGCACAGUAAGAGCUUGCUCUUACGGGUGGCGAGUGGCGGACGGGUGAGGAAUACAUCGGAAUCUACUUUUUCGUGGGGGAUAACGUAGGGAAACUUACGCUAAUACCGCAUACGACCUACGGGUGAAAGCAGGGGAUCUUCGGACCUUGCGCGAUUGAAUGAGCCGAUGUCGGAUUAGCUAGUUGGCGGGGUAAAGGCCCACCAAGGCGACGAUCCGUAGCUGGUCUGAGAGGAUGAUCAGCCACACUGGAACUGAGACACGGUCAAGACUCCUACGGGAGGCAGCAGUGGGGAAUAUUGGACAAUGGGCGCAAGCCUGAUCCAGCCAUACCGCGUGGGUGAAGAAGGCCUUCGGGUUGUAAAGCCCUUUUGUCGGGAAAGAAAAGCAGCAGGUUAAUACCCCGCUGUUCUGACGGUACCCAAAGAAUAAGCACCGGCUAACUUCGUG